UACGUAGGGUGCAAGCGUUAAUCGGAAUUACUGGGCGUAAAGCGUGCGCAGGCGGUUUUGUAAGACUGUCGUGAAAUCCCCGGGCUUAACCUGGGAAUGGCGAUGGUGACUGCAAGGCUAGAGUUUGGCAGAGGGGGGUAGAAUUCCACGUGUAGCAGUGAAAUGCGUAGAGAUGUGGAGGAACACCGAUGGCGAAGGCAGCCCCCUGGGUCAAAACUGACGCUCAUGCACGAAAGCGUGGGUAGCGAACAGG
rnacentral:rRNA from 1 species